GCUGGUACAAGUAUGAUGACUAAGCUUUUUUCCCCAGCAGAUCGAUAGUGUUGACUCUUUUGCACUGUAAGCCAAAUGUUCUGAUUGACCAGC
ensembl:snoRNA